GAGAAAAUCUCAUUCAUAUAGCAGAGCGGUUAAUCCUGAAGUGCUUCGAAUGUGUAAAGCUGAACCUUCCUUUAGCAAGGUACUCCUUAUCUUCCUAAAGACUUCCGUUCAAAUGUUUCUGCUUUGGUUGCUCUCAAAAGAGACCAUACCAAGCUAUAUCCGGCUAUUAUGGAUUUGUUGAAACGCACAGACGAGAUUUUUAGCUCAUUCAGAAGCCAAAUUGGUGUUGGAUUCAUGUUUUCUGGAGUAGGAAUAUAUUUUCAGAACACAGUAAUCCUUUGUGAUGCUCUCAUUGAAUUUGCCGUGUCAAAUGUUGCUGCCUUCUAUGCAACCACUUCUGUGAUGUAUAUCAAUUUAACACAAUGCAUCCUUGCAUCAAUGAUUUGGACGAUCAAAAAGGGCUAUAUCUAAUAAGGCAUCAGUCAUUUUUGAAUCGGAGACAAGACGAGAAGCAACACGUCUUAGGAGGUUUCUCAAUAAAGUCAACGUCAUCUUGGACCUUGAAGUUCUGCAACUUCUGUGAUAGACCGGUUCAGAACCAUUGUGGAAUCUAGAGCUGGGUUAAAACUGAGGAGAAACUAUGUUGUUUUAUUUAUCUCUACCAUAUGAAGUGUGAUAGCCUAUGGAGUCAUGAUCUGUUACUUGGCCUACUACAUACUAUAAAUGGUAACAAUGGUGCAAGUGUGAGUGCAUGGAAGGAGUCUUAUAUGAUGGAUCGGAUGUGGUUUACUGUUUUUGGGUU